GGUUCAGGACGAACGCUGGCGGCAUGCCUAAUACAUGCAAGUCGAACGGAACAAGACUGGCUGUAGCGAUACUUCGGUCUUGUUAGUGGCGAACGGGUGAGUAACACGUGAGCAACCUGCCUUCUACACAGGGAUAACAGCCGGAAACGGCUGCUAAUACCGGAUAAGACCACACUGAGGCAUCUCAGAGGGGUCAAAGCGAUUUAGCGGUAGAAGAUGGGCUCGCGUCCCAUUAGCUAGUUGGUGAGAUAACAGCCCACCAAGGCGACGAUGGGUAGCCGACUUGAGAGAGUGAUCGGCCACAUUGGAACUGAGACACGGUCCAGACUCCUUCGGGAGGCAGCAGUGGGGAAUAUUGGGCAAUGGAGGAAACUCUUACCCAGCAAAUGCCGCGUGAAUGAAGAAGGCCUUCGGGUUGUAAAGUUCUUUUAUUGAUGAUAAAGCAAGUGAUAUUAGUCAAUGAAUAAGCCCCGGCUAACUACGUGCCAGCAGCAGC
rnacentral:rRNA from 1 species